CAGCCGCCGCGGUAAUACCGGCGGCCCGAGUGGCGGCCACUAUUAUUGGGCUUAAAGCGUCCGUAGCCGGGUUGGUUAGUCUCCCGGGAAAUCUGGCCGCUUAACGGUCAGAAUUCCGGGAGAUACUGCCAGCCUAGGGACCGGGAGAGGCCGAGGGUAUUCCCGGAGUAGGGGUGAAAUCCUAUAAUCCCGGGAGGACCACCUGUGGCGAAGGCGCUCGGCUGGAACGGGUCCGACGGUGAGGGACGAAGGCCAGGGGAGCAAACCGGAUUAGAUCCCCGGGUAGUCCUGGCUGUAAACGAUGCGGACUUUGUGUCGGACAAGCUAUGAGCUUGUCCGGUGCCGGAGGGAAACCGUUAAGUCCGCCGCCUGGGGAGUACGGCCGCAAGGCUGAAACUUAAAGGAAUUGGCGG
rnacentral:rRNA from 1 species